rnacentral:rRNA from 1 species
AAUAUUGGACAAUGGGCGCAAGCCUGAUCCAGCAAUGCCGCGUGUGUGAAGAAGGCCUUCGGGUUGUAAAGCACUUUUAUCAGGAGCGAAAUCUGCAUGCUUAAUACGUGUGCAGUCUGACGGUACCUGAGGAAUAAGCACCGGCUAACUUCGUGCCAGCAGCCGCGGUAAUACGAAGGGUGCAAGCGUUAAUCGGAAUUACUGGGCGUAAAGGGCGCGUAGGCGGCAAUUCAAGUCAGCUGUGAAAUCUCCGAGCUUAACUCGGAACGGUCAGCUGAUACUGCUUUGCUAGAGUGCAGAAAGGGCAAUCGGAAUUCUUGGUGUAGCGGUGAAAUGCGUAGAUAUCAAGAGGAACACCUGAGGCGAAGGCGGGUUGCUAGGCUGACACUGACGCUGAGGCGCGAAAGCCAGGGGAGCAAAC